UUACGGCCACAACACGUUGAAACAUCGGUUCCCGUACGAUAACCGAAGUUAAGCAACAUCGAGCCUUGUCAAUACCUAGAUGGGUGACCGCUUCGGAAUGCC
rnacentral:rRNA from 1 species